UGCACGUGAGCUUGUAUCUUUCAUUAACAUUGUUCAAUUGCAAUUGGAUACCGCUGGCACUCGCUGACUUUAAAAUGUUCAACCAACCCGCAACCAGAAAAUAGAGAAUGUGAUGAAGAGUAGUGGAAAUGUUUUAAUCUUAAGAUGAACUACAUUCUGACGUCAUGGGAUAAUAAUACAACAGUUCUGUUCGCCCUCUCCGAUCCCUUUGGCUAGGUUAAUUGAUCUGAAAAAGAAUGCCGUCCAGGAUGCAUCAUUCUCAAAUAUGGUUGCUAAAAUAUGGACUUAUGAUCUACGGCAGUGAAUGUGAUGAAGAGUAGUGGAAAUGUUUUAAUCUCAAGAUGAACUACAUUCUGACGUCAUGGGAUAAUAAUACAACAGUUCUGUUCGCCCUCUCCGAUCCCUUUGGCUAGGUGAAUUGAUCUGAAAAAGAAUGCCGUCCAGGAUGCAUCAUUCUCAAAUAUGGUUGCUAAAAUAUGGACUUAUGAUCUACGGCAGUGAAUGUGAUGAAGAGUAGUGGAAAUGUUUUAAUCUCAAGAUGAACUACAUUCUGACGUCAUGGGAUAAUAAUACAACAGUUCUGUUCGCCCUCUCCGAUCCCUUUGGCUAGGUUAAUUGAUCUGAAAAAGAAUGCCGUCCAGGAUGCAUCAUUCUCAAAUAUGGUUGCUAAAAUAUGGACUUAUGAUCUACGGCAGUGAAUGUGAUGAAGAGUAGUGGAAAUGUUUUAAUCUCAAGAUGAACUACAUUCUGACGUCAUGGGAUAAUAAUACAACAGUUCUGUUCGCCCUCUCCGAUCCCUUUGGCUAGGUUAUAAAUGGUAGUACAGUGUAUGGCGACACAUUCUGGCGGUAUUGGAAUACUCCAACAGUUCUGAUUGCUGUCUCCCUCUUGGGGAGUUGCAGUCAAGUUGUACCAAGGAUUUUCUACGAUGAGAUGAGAAUACCUUACCUCUGAUAUUCUCUGAUAUCAUAUCAAAAUGUUAAUCUGUUUUUAUGUGAGACAA